rnacentral:rRNA from 1 species
AACCGGAUUAGAUACCCUGGUAGUCCAUGCCGUAAACGAUGAGUGCUAAGUGUUGGAGGGUUUCCGCCCUUCAGUGCUGCAGCUAACGCAUUAAGCACUCCGCCUGGGGAGUACGACCGCAAGGUUGAAACUCAAAGGAAUUGACGGGGGCCCGCACAAGCGGUGGAGCAUGUGGUUUAAUUCGAUGCUACGCGAAGAACCUUACCAGGUCUUGACAUCUUCUGCCAACCUAAGAGAUUAGGCGUUCCCUUCGGGGACAGAAUGACAGGUGGUGCAUGGUUGUCGUCAGCUCGUGUCGUGGGAUGUUGGGUUAAGUCCCGCAACGAGCGCAACCCUUAUUGUUAGUUGCCAGCAUUCAGUUGGGCACUCUAGCAAGACUGCCGGUGACAAACCGGAGGAAGGUGGGGAUGACGUCAAAUCAUCAUGCCCCUUAUGACCUGGGCUACACACGUGCUACAAUGGACGGUACAACGAGUCGCGAAACCGCGAGGUCAAGCUAAUCUCUUAAAGCCGUUCUCAGUUCGGAUUGUAGGCUGCAACUCGCCUACAUGAAGUUGGAAUCGCUAGUAAUCGUGGAUCAGCAUGCCACGGUGAAUACGUUCCCGGGCCUUGUACACACCGCCCGUCACACCAUGAGAGUUUGUAACACCCAAAGCCGGUGAGGUAACCUUCGGGGACCAGCCGUCUAAGGUGGGACAGAUGAUUAGGGGUGAAGUCGUAACAAGGUAACC